GACGUAGGGUGCAAGCGUUGUCCGGAUUUAUUGGGCGUAAAGAGCUCGUAGGCGGCUUGUUGCGUCGACUGUGAAAACCCGCGGCUUAACCGCGGGCUUGCAGUUGAUACGGGCAGGCUAGAGUUCGGUAGGGGAGACUGGAAUUCCUGGUGUAGCGGUGAAAUGCGCAGAUAUCAGGAGGAACACCGGUUGCGAAGGCGGGUCUCUGGGCCGAUACUGACGCUGAGGAGCGAAAGCGUGGGGAGCGAACAGG
rnacentral:rRNA from 1 species